CGGAGGCUAGGGGUGGAUGCUGAGGAACAAGCAAAAGGAUCAGUGCAUUAAGAAAUCAAUCCUCACGGCUGCAUCCAGGAGCUACACCGGUAGGUGCACCUCAAAACUCAAGUUAUGUGUUAAGUUGGAACAGUUCAUGGGUUCUGAAGUGCACCGUCUGAAGUGCAGUGGCAUUUUGGACCUUACAAGAAGGGAAAGUGUACAGCUUAUUUCGUUUCAGUUCCGCCCCAACGCGAUCCGGAGCUCUCACAGAGGGAGGUCUGCCACAAAUGCCCCGUCUGCAUUGCAAGCUGUAAGCAAGAGAGUCAGUAAUAUCGGAUCGCAUCGGUAGCACAUACUCUAGCAGGCACAGAUCUAUCACUUCCACUGGACUAAUUGAACUCCCACGACGGUUAUGGCCCACUGCCGAUGGCGUUGAAGAAGAUGUCGGAUUGUUGCUGCGAAUCAGACACAGGUUGGUUGCAAUGCCUAUUAAUGCGAUCCAAAUCUUCUUUUUGGGAAAGUUAUCUGCGAGACAGACAAGUUGGCCUUCAAAGAGGAACAAUAGUUCUGUGGGGACUGCAGAAAGUUGGAUCCGUUGGCGGAAGUGCCGCUGAUAAUGAUUUCCAGGGAUGAAUCGGAAUGAAAUUAUGACUUGGAAGACAAUCCUUUUACCUUUCCAAAAGGAAAAUGAAUCUCCAGGAAGAAUCUCACAUAUAUGGCCAUUCUGAGGCAUUGAUUGGAGACGAUGGAGUGUUGAGGAACAUCCAAUUAGUGUGAAGGAGGAGAAGCAUUUUAAACUUAAUCUUCACAACGGCAUGCAGAAACUACAUUAGUGUUUGCACACCCAAACCCUGGCUUUGUUUUAAGUCAGAACUUGGAAUAGCCCUCGAGUUCGGCUGUGCACUCGCUAAAAUGUAGUCCUGGAUGCAUCUCACCUCAUCCCUACCCAACACUGUCAUGAACUUGGUCAUGUGGCUUCCAAUUUCAGAGGUCUGAAUUAUUGGACUUACAUCAAAUCGAAGAUUAGUCUGAAGGAGAAGCAUUCAAAAAUCAAUAUCAAACAGCUGCAUCUAGGAAUUACACCAGUGUUCGCACAUCCAAACCUAGGCUUUUUAGGAUAGAACUGGGAAUAGUUUAGUUCUGGAUACAACUGCUCUAGCGUAUAGGAAUUGUAGUUCAGGGUAAGCGCAUUUGAGGCCAAUACCCUAUGUUAACUGAACUUAACCCUGGACUUUUCUCUCUCGGACCGGACAAGAAGAGAACAAGAGCUUCAAUUGGCAGUACUUGGCUCAUUUUAAAAUUCGAAUAAAAAUGGUUAGCUAUCAUUCGUUCACAGACGUGAAAGUUCAGGUUUUAAAAGCAUUGGCCAUAAACCCCGAGAAGGAAAUAAGCUGCGAGCCACUGUAAGUAGUGACGCUUCUGUAUUGGAUUCGAGCUGUUCAAUGAGAGAAAGAAAACCCCUUUUUUUGCUAACCAAAUCAUCAUUUGGUUUUACUGACCCGCAAGGUAGUCCAAUGCGAAAUAAACUUUAAAGCGAAAUCAGAAGUCAUAAGGAAUAAAUUCCAGUGUUAGUGUCAGAGGAUGAUCGAGGAAGAAACAAGAACAAAUUGUAUUGCAGUUGGUGGCGGAAUGAGGCGAAAAGAGGAAAACGAAAAUUGUCGGUGGAAUAGCGGCGCCGCGAGCAGGCAUUUCCAAAAACAAAAAAAAAUUAUUUGAGUGCUCAAAUCUAGGGCUUAUUUUAAGUUUAGAGAAAAAAAAAAACGGCCACUCUGAUCCAUUCAGUCGCCGUCAGAAUCUCGUCGAAGACAAAACUAUUUCGCUAAACCUAAGAUAACCAUAGAAUAGAAAUAAACACUAUCCUAAUUUGAAA